UACGUAGGGGGCAAGCGUUGUCCGGAAUCAUUGGGCGUAAAGAGCGCGUAGGCGGCCCUGUAAGUCCGCUGUGAAAGUCAAGGGCUCAACCCUUGGAUGCCGGUGGAUACUGCAGGGCUAGAGUCCGGAAGAGGCGAGUGGAAUUCCCGGUGUAGUGGUGAAAUGCGUAGAUAUCGGGAGGAACACCAGUGGCGAAGGCGACUUCCUGGCCUGUUCUUGACGCUGAGGCGCGAAAGCUAGGGUAGCAAACGGG
rnacentral:rRNA from 1 species